CCCCCAUGGACGACUUCAUAAUCAUCUUCAUCACCUUGUCACCGAUAGCCAUCCAUGAAACCACGCAAGAGCAGGUGGUCCCGCACCUUUACGGAAUCCGGGUCCAUAAGGCUCUUCAGCUUGCAUCUUCGACACGGACAUCUUAUCUCCGUCUCGUUCUUUUGAAGCAUCUCGGCCUUCGCGGAGCUCAAAAACCUAU
rnacentral:lncRNA from 1 species